AUUUCCGGUUGAUCCUGGCGGACCCGACUGCUAUCGGAUUGAGAUUUAGCCAUGCGAGUCGAACGUCCCCCUGUUGCGGGGGGCGUGGCGUACGGCUCAGUAACACGUAGUCAACCUGCCCUGGAGACAAGGACAACCCCGGGAAACUGGGAUUAAUCCUUGAUAGGUCAUCUCAUCUGGAAGGAGAGAUGGCUUAAAGGGGUACGCGGGCUUCUUCCGCGAAUUCGCUCCAGGAUGGGACUGCGUCCGAUCAGGCUGUUGGCGGGGUAAUGGCCCACCAAACCUGUAACCGGUACGGGCCUUGAGAGAGGUGGCCCGGAGAUGGACACUGAGAGAAGGGUCCAGGUCCUACGGGGCGCAGCAGGCGCGAAACCUUCGCAAUGCGCGAAAGCGUGACGAGGUUAAUCCGAGUGACUUCCGCUGAGGAGGUCUUUUGUCAGCUGUAAAUAGGCAGGCGAAUAAGGGGAGGGCAAGCCUGGUGUCAGCCGCCGCGGUAAUACCAGCUCCUCGAGUGGUCGGGGCGAUUAUUGGGCCUAAAGCAUCCGUAGCCGGUUCCGUAGGUCCUCUGUUAAAUCCAACCGCUCAACGGUUGACCUGCAGAGGAUACCGCGGGACUAGGAGGCGGGAGAGGCGGACGGUACUCCGCGUGUAGGGGUAAAAUCCUUUGAUCCGCGGAAGACCACCAGUGGCGAANGCGGUCCGCCAGAACGCGCUCGACGGUGAGGGAUGAAAGCUGGGGGAGCGAACCGGAUUAGAUACCCGGGUAGUCCCAGCCGUAAACGAUGCUAGCUAGAU
rnacentral:rRNA from 1 species